rnacentral:rRNA from 1 species
UACGGGGGGGGCAAGCGUUGUUCGGAAUUACUGGGCGUAAAGGGCUCGUAGGCGGCCAACUAAGUCAUACGUGAAAUCCCCAGGCUCAACCUGGGAACUGCGUCUGAUACUGGUUGGCUUGAAUCCGGGAGAGGGGAUGCAGAAUUCCAGGUGUAGCGGUGAAAUGCGUAGAUAUCUGGAGGAACACCGGUGGCGAAAGCGGCGUACUGGGGCUUAACUGACGCUGAGGCACGAAAGCCAGGGGAGCGAACGGG